rnacentral:rRNA from 1 species
GCUGACUGUAGCGUAACUGACUGAUGAUGCUCGAGAGCGUGUAGCAUCGAACAGGAUUAGAUACCCUAGUAGUCCACUGUAGUACGAUGAUGGAUGCUCGUGGUGGGACAUAUAUGGUAAGUGGCCAAAGGAAAGCAAUAAGUAAUCCACCUGGGGAGUACGCCGGCAACGGUGAAACUCAAAGGAAUUGACGGGGGCCCGCACCAGGCGAGGAACAUGUGGUUUAAUUUGAUGAUACGCGAGGAACCUUUCCCGGGUUUGAACAUCCAGCUGACGAUUCAGAGAUGCAGAGGCCCUCCGUGGCGGAAAUGGAGGUCAGGCAUGGCAGUGGUCUGCUCGGGCCGUGAGGUGUGGGGUUAAGUUACAUAACGAGCGCAGCCCCUUCCAUUAGUUUCCAUCAUUUGCGGGGGCCAUUUUGGUGAUACUGCCACGGUAAGGCGUGAGGAAGGUGGGGAGACGUCAAAUCAGCACCCCCUUACGUCCGGGGCACACACGUGUUACAAUGGGUGACACCGAAGGGAAGCAAAUGGCAAAUUGCGUCCAAUCCUAAAAAUAUCUUCCAUUUGGAAUGGCGUGGCAACCCGACCCCCGGAAGUGGGA